rnacentral:rRNA from 1 species
CACGUAGGGGGCAAGCGUUGUCCGGAUUUAUUGGGCGUAAAGAGCUCGUAGGCGGUUCGGUAAGUCGGGUGUGAAACCUCCAGGCUCAACCUGGAGAGGCCACCUGAUACUGCUGUGACUCGAGUCCGGUAGGGGAGCGUGGAAUUCCUGGUGUAGCGGUGAAAUGCGCAGAUAUCAGGAGGAACACCAAUUGCGAAGGCAGCUCGCUGGGACGUAACUGACGCUGAGACGCGAAAGCGUGGGGAGCAAACAGG